GGGGGUAUAGUAUAACCUGGCUAGAAUAGUGGGCUCCAGACCUACGGAUCUGGGUUCGAAUCCCAGUACCCCCA
rnacentral:tRNA from 1 species